CCGAGCCGAGCCGAGCCGAGCCGAGCCGAGCCGAGCCGAGCCGAGCCGAGCCGGUGCUGGAGGAGGCAGCACGGCGCGGGCGGCGGAAAGGCGGGAUGAGGCUGUGCCUGGCAGCGGGGCUGGCCGCGGUGCUCCUGGUGGCUGUGAGCAGAGCUCAGGUGCAGCAGGAUCCAUCGGCAGAGACCAGAGAGGGCACCGGCGUCAACAUUACCUGCUCUCACCCCAACAUACAGAUCAGCGAGGGCAUCUACUGGUACCGUCAGCUCCCGGGCCGAGGCCCCGCAUUCCUCGUCAGCGCCGUUAAAGGCUCGAAGGAGGUGGCGGACCCGGCGGGGCGGGUGUCGCUGUCGGCAGACCGCCGCUCCAGCGCCCUGUGGCUCGCCGGGCCCCGGCUUGGGGACUCGGCGGUGUACUACUGCGCCGUAGGCACACGGGGAGAGAAGCCGGGGCUUCGGCCGGACACGAACCGCUUUGGGCGGAGUGGGGGCACAGAGCCAUCCCGGCCAGCAGGGGGCGCUACAUGCAGGCCGCCAAACUCCAUCCUAACCAGAGUGCACCUCCCUGAGUGCUCGAGAGAAACGAGCGCCGCACCAAUAGCAGGCAUCGACUGAAAACAGUGUGAGUCAGACACAUCUAUGUCUGAAGUGAGCAAGAUGGCAUAAAUGACAGUACAAGCUCUGUUGUACACUAUGGAGACCUCCUCACAAUUCUACUAUCCUCUCUUGCUUCCCCAGUGCCACAAUGGUGAGAGCAGGAGGAGCCCUGUUUCUAUGAGCCAGCAAGGAGGCUUAUACCCAUGCUUUUUCCAUAAACAGAGCAGUGGUCAUGUUCUCCCUUUAAAUAACCUUUGGGCUUCGCUGUGGGCAGAAAAAUUGCGAGGCAAAAGCCAGUAGUUCCCUCUUCUGCCACUGGCAGAGAGACCUUCUGCUUCAAGGUACAGUGCCCAAGAGAGCAGCCUCUGCAGUCUGCAGUGUGU